UACAGAGGGGGCAAGCGUUGUUCGGAAUUACUGGGCGUAAAGGGCGCGUAGGCGGCCCGGUAAGUCCGCUGUGAAAGUCGGGGGCUCAACCCUCGAAUGCCGGUGGAUACUGUCGGGCUAGAGUACGGAAGAGGCGAGUGGAAUUCCUGGUGUAGCGGUGAAAUGCGCAGAUAUCAGGAGGAACACCUAUUGCGAAGGCAGCUCGCUGGGACGUAACUGACGCUGAGACGCGAAAGCGUGGGGAGCAAACAGG
rnacentral:rRNA from 1 species